rnacentral:rRNA from 1 species
GACCUCAAAUCAGGUAGGACUACCCGCUGAACUUAAGCAUAUCAAUAAGCGGAGGAAAAGAAACUAACAAGGAUUCCCCUAGUAACUGCGAGUGAAGCGGGAAAAGCUCAAAUUUAAAAUCUGGCAGUCUUUUGGCUGUCCGAGUUGUAAUCUAGAGAAGUGUUAUCCGCGCUGGACCAUGUACAAGUCUCCUGGAAUGGAGCAUCAUAGAGGGUGAGAAUCCCGUCUUUGACAUGGACUUCCAGGGCUUUGUGAUGCGCUCUCAAAGAGUCGAGUUGUUUGGGAAUGCAGCUCAAAAUGGGUGGUAAAUUCCAUCUAAAGCUAAAUAUUGGCGAGAGACCGAUAGCGAACAAGUACCGUGAGGGAAAGAUGAAAAGAACUUUGGAAAGAGAGUUAAACAGUACGUGAAAUUGCUGAAAGGGAAACGCUUGAAGUCAGUCGCGUCGUCCAGGGAUCAACCUUGCUUUUGCUUGGUGCACUUCCUGGUUUGAUGGGUCAGCAUCAAUUUUGACUAUUGGAAAAAGGUUAAGGGAAUGUGGCAUCUUUGGAUGUGUUUAUAGCCCUUGGUCACAUACAAUGGUUGGGAUUGAGGAACUCAGCACGCCGCAAGGCCGGGUUUAACCACGUACGUGCUAGAU